AGCCCUCGCCAUUGACCUGAACC
rnacentral:piRNA from 1 species